UACGUAGGGCGCAAGCGUUAAUCGGAAUUACUGGGCGUAAAGCGUGCGCAGGCGGUUUUGUAAGUCUGACGUGAAAUCCCCGGGCUUAACCUGGGAAUUGCGUUGGAGACUGCAAGGCUAGAAUCUGGCAGAGGGGGGUAGAAUUCCACGUGUAGCAGUGAAAUGCGUAGAGAUGUGGAGGAACACCGAUGGCGAAGGCAGCCCCCUGGGUCAAGAUUGACGCUCAUGCACGAAAGCGUGGGGAGCAAACAGG
rnacentral:rRNA from 1 species